GGUAUGGGAUGAGCUUGCGUCCGAUUAGCUAGUUGGCGGGGCAACGGCCCACCAAGGCGACGAUCGGUAGCCGGCCUGAGAGGGUGAUCGGCCACAUUGGGACUGAGAUACGGCCCAGACUCCUACGGGAGGCAGCAGUAGGGAAUAUUGCACAAUGGGGGGAACCCUGAUGCUGCAACGCCACGUGUGGGAAGAAGCAUUUCGGUGUGUAAACCACUGUCGUGAGGGAAUAAGGCCUGUUCUAGGACAGGAUUGAAUGUACCUCGAAAGGAAGCACCGGCAAACUUCGUGCCAGCAGCCGCGGUAAUACGAGGGGUGCAAGCGUUGUUCGGAAUCACUGGGCGUAAAGGGAGCGUAGGCGGAGAUUCAAGCGGAUUGUACAAUCCCGGGGCCCAACCCCGGACCUGCAGUCCGAACUGGAUCUCUUGGAUAGUUCAGGGGCAGGC
rnacentral:rRNA from 1 species